GAACCACGGCCUACCGACUGUUACC
rnacentral:misc_RNA from 1 species